CUAGCACAUAGUAGGGGCUUUACAAAUGUCUGUUUCCUGCUUUCCCAAAAUCACCUCUAUCUACCUUCUUCCUGAUGUCAGGACUAAAGCUCCCUUUACUCUAAUUACUCUUAGCUCCCCAUCCUGCCCUCUGGGGCCAAGCUGACUGAGUCAAAUGUGAACCUUUUCUACCAGCCAGCCUUUCAGAUGUUUGAAGACAGGGAUCAUGUCCCCCAAAGUGUUCUCUUCUCUAAGCAAAGUGCUCUCCCCCUCAUCCACAGAGUCUUCCCUUUGUACUUACAUCUCAUUGGUCAGGAUGAGAGACAGGGACGGGUUUUGAUCUGUGCCAAUGAAAGGCGUACCCAUUUCAGUGAGAUCAGGAAGCCACAGAGACACUGAAGCCUUCCCAGAGCUAAGCCCAGUUCCCCGUGCUUGGGAACGCUUCCCCUCUCUGCCUUUGAUUCGGAGAAUCCCUAGCAACCUUCUUCCAAGCUCACUCCAGAUUCAGCUUCCUGCAGGAGAUCUUUCUUGCCUCCGCUUCCUCCCCAGAUGCUGGUGCCCCUCUGAAUGAUCUUGUGUUUGUUUAUCUUUUCUAUGUGGGUAGAGGAGCAGCUGGGCCGCACAGGGCCCAGAAUGCCAGGCCUGGAGGCAGGAAGACUCAGUUUCCCGAGUUCAGGUACGACCUCGGACACUUCCUAGCUGUGUGACCCUGGGCAAGUCCCUUAACCAAGUUUGCUCAGGUUCCUCAUCUGCAAAAUGAGUUAGAGAAGGAAGUGGUAAACUGCUUUAAUAUCUCUGCCAAAGGAAAUCCAUACGGAGGCAUGAAGACCCUGAAAGACAGCAUACAAACACACACAUGUGAAUAUGUAUUACAUAUAUAUAUAUGUGUGCAUAGAGACACAUAUAUACACACAUAUAUUUUACACACACACACACACACACACACACACACACGGUCUCCCCUGCUGUUGGCUCCUGGCUGGUAGGGACAGUUUUUACUUUUCUCUCUGUUUCCCCAACAUCUAGCCCAGGGCUGGUAGGUAAUAAACACUUAAUAAACGUAUGUUGAUUGAUUGACUGAUUUUCUUGCACAGAAUAGAUGCCCAAAACACUUUUGUUGAAUUAAAUCUAAAUGAAUCCCAUCAAGAAAAGAUGAGUUUGGUUUGAAUUGUUCCUGAUGAAUUCGUGUUAGGUCCCAGGAAUCUGUAUUUUCAUUUCUGAUGCUCAUAGACUGACUUCCUUUUUUUUUUUUUUUUUUUUUUUUUAAAUGGCACCGCUGUUACCCAGAUUUGAAACUUUGAGUCAUCUGGCCUCCUAACCUCUCCUCACUCACAAACCCCAUCUGCCAACAGCUGAUUCUUUCUGUUGAACUAUCUAGUUUGCUGUUUGGCUUCUCUGCUUUCCGCUCCUCCCCUUUCCAUCACUUCUGCAUGGGAUAACCCUAGUGUCUGGCUCUGGCCAUAAACCUGCCCAUAACCUGGCCCUACUUAGGCAUCUGACAUGACUUCCCGUGGCUGGAAGGAGAAAGUUUGAACUCCUCAACCCUCCACACUCUAACCCUGCUCUUAGCAGCCUGAUCUCGCUUUUCAAGGCAACAGACUUCUCAGAACUCUCUAUCUUACACCCUAAAUCAGAGUAAUAGAAAUAGAAAGCACACACAUCAAGGUGUGUGUGUGUGUGUGUGUGUGUGUGUGAACAUAGGACAAAGUGUCAGAGCUGGGAGGUAUCUCAAAAUUUAUAAUAUCAGAAUUGUGUGUGUGUGUGUGUGUGAACAUAAAACAGAAUGUCAGAGCUGGGAGGUAUCAGAACAGAACAUCAGAGUUGUGUGUGUGCACAUAGGACAGAGAAUGUCAGGGCUGGGAGAUAGCUCAAAAUUUACAUCAGAGUUAGAGCGUGUGUAUAUGUGUGUGAACAUAGGACAGAAUGUCAGAGCGGGGAGUUAUCUCAAAACCUAGAACAUCAGGGUUGGGAAAGACCUUUCAGGGGUCCUCAAACUACGGCCCUCGGGCCAGAUGCGGCAGCUGAGGACGAUUCUCCCCCUCCCCCAGGGCUAGGAGGUUUCUUUAUUUAAAGGCCCACAAAACAAAGUUUUGUUUUUACUAGAGUCCGGCCCUCCAACGGUCCGAGGGACAGUGAACUGGCCCCCUGUUUAAAAAGCUUGAGGACCCUGAUGGACUGCCGGUACUAGGAGCUACCUAGAAACACAAGCACAAACCAGGAGCGCCCCUCCAGCCUCAGUGGGCGGGAUUCCUCCCCACCUGCCCCGAGGACUCCCUCCCGGGUUCCUAGGUGAGCCGCUGCGCAGCCUAAGGUGUCCGAGUCCGGAGACUGGGAUUCAGAACCAGCCUCAGAAACUUCCCGGCCGCAUGACUGUGGGCCAGCCGCUUCACCUCUGCUUAGAACCUCAUCUCCAAGGGUUACUGUGAGAAGCGGAGGACGGGACAGGGGAACGAGCCUUUGCAAACCUUUAAAGCCUUAUGUCUGCACUAGCUGUGGCUGUUUGUGCCUGGAAGACUUGAAGGAAGAUGCCGCGGAGCUGGGAGACCCGCAGUCGGUCCCUUUUACAGAUGGGGAGACUGAGUAUGGGGAAGCGAGUCUCUCCACCGGGGGGAAGAGGGCCGGGCGGGGCUCUCGCGGGGCAGGGAGUUCUUUGCCAACCCUCGGGCCUCAGGCCUGAUUUUAAUUGUUGCGUGUUUGGGAGGGGCAGGGGAGGUCCCGCCGGGUCGCCUGGCUGGGUCUAAGGUGGAAGAAGGGCCGUGGCUCCUAGCUCCGGGCCGAGCUGCUCCCCAGGACAGCAGCAGCAGCAGCAGCAGCAGCAGCAGCAGCAGCA
rnacentral:lncRNA from 1 species